rnacentral:snoRNA from 1 species
AUGUCGUGAUGAGGGCACUUUCGUAAUAACUCCUUGAACUGCUCCCAUGCUUCAUAUAAAGAUUCUUUAUCAACUUGUUGAAAUGAAGUGAUUUUAUUUCAGAUCUU